rnacentral:rRNA from 1 species
UGGGGAAUUUUGGACAAUGGGGGAAACCCUGAUCCAGCCAUCCCGCGUGUGCGAUGAAGGCCUUCGGGUUGUAAAGCACUUUUGGCAGGGAAGAAACGGCACUGAUUAAUACUUGGUGUCACUGACGGUACCUGCAGAAUAAGCACCGGCUAACUACGUGCCAGCAGCCGCGGUAAUACGUAGGGUGCAAGCGUUAAUCGGAAUUACUGGGCGUAAAGCGUGCGCAGGCGGUUCGGAAAGAAAGGUGUGAAAUCCCAGAGCUUAACUUUGGAACUGCACUUUUAACUACCGGGCUAGAGUAUGUCAGAGGGGGGUAGAAUUCCACGUGUAGCAGUGAAAUGCGUAGAGAUGUGGAGGAAUACCGAUGGCGAAGGCAGCCCCCUGGGAUAAUACUGACGCUCAUGCACGAAAGCGUGGGGAGCAAACAGG